rnacentral:rRNA from 2 species
UGGGGAAUAUUGCGCAAUGGGGGGAACCCUGACGCAGCAACGCCGCGUGAAGGAUGAAGGUUUUCGGAUCGUAAACUUCUUUGAUGAGGGAAGAAAAAAGACGGUACCUCAAAAACAAGCCACGGCUAACUACGUGCCAGCAGCCGCGGUAAUACGUAGGUGGCGAGCGUUGUCCGGAAUUACUGGGUGUAAAGGGCGUGUAGGCGGGUUUUUAAGUCAGAUGUGAAAUACCGGGGCUCAACUCCGGGGCUGCAUCUGAAACUGGAGAUCUUGAGUGCUGGAGAGGAAAGCGGAAUUCCUAGUGUAGCGGUGAAAUGCGUAGAUAUUAGGAGGAACACCAGUGGCGAAGGCGGCUUUCUGGACAGUAACUGACGCUGAGGCGCGAAAGCGUGGGGAGCAAACAGG